rnacentral:rRNA from 1 species
AUACGGAGGGUGCAAGCGUUAAUCGGAAUUACUGGGCGUAAAGCGUACGUAGGCGGUUCGUUAAGUUGGAUGUGAAAGCCCCGGGCUUAACCUGGGAACUGCAUUUAAAACUGGCGAACUAGAGUUGAGUAGAGGGGAGUGGAAUUUCAGGUGUAGCGGUGAAAUGCGUAGAGAUCUGAAGGAACACCAGUGGCGAAGGCGACUCCCUGGACUCGAACUGACGCUGAGGUACGAAAGCGUGGGUAGCAAACGGGAUUAGAAACCCUAGUAGUCC